AGCGAACGUUAGCGGCGGGCCUAACACAUGCAAGUCGAGCGAGAAAGGGGGUUCGCCCCCGAGUACAGCGGCGGACGGGUGAGUAACACGUAGGUAAUUUUCCCUUGAGCGGGGGACAACGUUCCGAAAGGGACGCUAAUACCGCAUAAGUUCUUGGGUGCUUCGGCACUGGAGAGGAAAGCUAGGCCGCAAGGUCUGGCACUCGAGGAGAAGCCUGCGUCGCAUCAGCUAGUUGGUGGGGUAAUGGCCUACCAAGGCAAAGACGCGUAGCUGGUCUGAGAGGAUGAUCAGCCACACUGGGACUGAGACACGGCCCAGACUCCUACGGGAGGCAGCAGUGGGGAAUAUUGGGCAAUGGGCGAAAGCCUGAUCCAGCAAUGCCGCGUGAGUGAUGAAGGCCUUAGGGUUGUAAAGCUCUUUUACCCGGGAUGAUAAUGACAGUACCGGGAGAAUAAGCCCGGCUAACUCCGUGCCAGCAGCCGCGGUAAU
rnacentral:rRNA from 1 species